GAUGAACGCUGGCGGCGUGCCUAAUACAUGCAAGUCGAGCGAACGUACGAGAAGCUUGCUUCUCUGAUGUUAGCGGCGGACGGGUGAGUAACACGUGGAUAACCUACCUAUAAGACUGGUAUAACUUCGGGAAACCUGAGCUAAUACCGGAUAAUAUUUUGAACCGCAUGGUUCACAAGUGAAAGACGGUCUUUCUGUCACUUAUAGAUUGAUCCGCGCUGCAUUAGCUAGUUGGUAAGGUAACGGCUUACCAAGGCAACGAUGCAUAGCCGACCUGAGAGGGAGAACGGCCAGACUGGAAGUGAGACAGGGCACAGACACCGAGGGGAGGAAGCAGUAGGGAAUCUUCCGCAAUGGGGGAAAGCCGGACGGAGCAAAGCGGCGUGAGGGAUGAAGGUCUUAGGAUCGGAAAACUAUGAUAGUAGGGAAGAACAUAUGUGUAAGUAACGGUGAACAUCUUGACGGUACCUAAUCAGAAAGCCACGGCUAACUACGUG
rnacentral:rRNA from 1 species